GAUGAACGCUGGCGGCGUGCCUAAUACAUGCAAGUCGAGCGAACAGACGAGGAGCUUGCUCCUCUGACGUUAGCGGCGGACGGGUGAGUAACACGUGGAUAACCUACCUAUAAGACUGGGAUAACUUCGGGAAACCGGAGCUAAUACCGGAUAAUAUAUUGAACCGCAUGGUUCAAUAGUGAAAGACGGUUUUGCUGUCACUUAUAGAUGGAUCCGCGCCGCAUUAGCUAGUUGGUAGGGUAACGGCUUACCAAGGCGACGAUGCGUAGCCGACCUGAGAGGGUGAUCGGCCACACUGGAACUGAGACACGGUCCAGACUCCUACGGGAGGCAGCAGUAGGGAAUCUUCCGCAAUGGGCGAAAGCCUGACGGAGCAACGCCGCGUGAGUGAUGAAGGUCUUCGGAUCGUAAAACUCUGUUAUUAGGGAAGAACAAAUGUGUAAGUAACUAUGCACGUCUUGACGGUACCUAAUCAGAAAGCCACGGCUAACUACGUA
rnacentral:rRNA from 1 species